AUGGUGGACUUGAAAGGCUGAACUUGGAAUUCAGAAAGACUUGGGUUCAAAUCCCAACUAACAUU
rnacentral:tRNA from 1 species